AACGAACGCUGGCGGCAGGCUUAACACAUGCAAGUCGAGCGCCCCGCAAGGGGAGCGGCAGACGGGUGAGUAACGCGUGGGAAUCUACCCAUCCCUACGGAAUAGCUCCGGGAAACUGGAAUUAAUACCGUAUACGCCCUACGGGGGAAAGAUUUAUCGGGGAUGGAUGAGCCCGCGUUGGAUUAGCUAGUUGGUGGGGUAAAGGCCUACCAAGGCGACGAUCCAUAGCUGGUCUGAGAGGAUGAUCAGCCACAUUGGGACUGAGACACGGCCCAAACUCCUACGGGAGGCAGCAGUGGGGAAUAUUGGACAAUGGGGGCAACCCUGAUCCAGCCAUGCCGCGUGAGUGAUGAAGGCCUUAGGGUUGUAAAGCUCUUUCACCGAUGAAGAUAAUGACGGUAGUCGGAGAAGAAGCCCCGGCUAACUUCGUGCCAGCCGCCGCGGUAA
rnacentral:rRNA from 1 species